rnacentral:rRNA from 1 species
GAUGAACGCUGGCGGCGUGCUUAACACAUGCAAGUCGAACGGGAACAUUUUAUUGAAGCUUCGGCAGAUUUAGCUUGUUCCAGUGGCGACGGUGAGUAACGCGUGGGUAACCUGCCUCACACUGGGGAUAACAGUCAGAAAUGACUGCUAAUACCGCAUAAGCGCACGGGACCGCAUGGUUUUGUGUGAAAAACUCCGGUGGUGUGAGAUGGACCCGCGUUGGAUUAGCCAGUUGGCAGGUAACGGCCUACCAAAGCGACGAUCCAUAGCCGGCCUGAGAGGGUGAACGGCCACAUUGGGACUGAGACACGGCCCAGACUCCUACGGGAGGCAGCAGUGGGGAAUAUUGCACAAUGGGGGAAACCCUGAUGCAGCGACGCCGCGUGAAGGAAGAAGUAUCUCGGUAUGUAAACUUCUAUCAGCAGGGAAGAAAAUGACGGUACCUGACUAAGAAGCCCCGGCUAACUACGU